AAGAGGGAAAAAACAAACCCUACAUAACACGUAACUAUUAAAAAACAUAGAAAAAUAGAUAACAUAAAUAGAAAAAUCAACCUAGAAAUAACUUAACCAGUACUAGUUGUAUUUUACGAGUUAUUCAUUGAAAUCGUAGACAAAUUGUUUGAAAAUGUUUUAAAUAUGACGUAUGGGUUAUUCAUAUUUGAUUUUUAUAUAUAUACAAGAUAAAGACACACUAAAUAGAAUAAAGAGGGAAAAAAAAACCCUACAUAACACAUAACUAUUAAAAACCACAGAAAAAUAGAUAACAUAAAUAGAAAAAUCAACCUAGAAAUAACUUAACCAGUACUAGUUGUAAUUUACGAGUUAUUCAUUUAAAUCGUAGACAAAUUGUUUGAAAAUGUUUUAAUAUGACGUAUGGGUUAUUCAUAUUUGAUUCUUAUAUAUAUGUUUAUAUAUAUACAAGAUAACGUCACACUAAAUAGAAUAAAGACGGAAAAAACAAACCCUACAUAACACGUAACUAUUAAAAAACAUAGAAAAAUAGAUAACAUAAAUAGACAAAUCAACCUAGAAAUAACUUAACUACUUCUAGUUGUAUUUUACGAGUUAUUCAUUGAAAUCGUAGACAAAUUGUUUAAAAAUGUUUUAAAUAUGACGUAUGGGUUAUUCAUAUUUGAUUCUUAUAUAUAUGUUUAUAUAUAUACAAGAUAACGACACACUAAAUAGAAUAAAGAGGGAAAAAACAAACCCUACAUAACACAUAACUAUUAAAAAACACAGAAAAAGAGAUACCAUAAAUAGAAAAAUCAUCCUAAAAAUAACUUAACUAGUUAUAGUUGUAUUUUACGAGUUAUUCAUUGAAAUCGUACACAAAUUGUUUAAAAAUGUUUUAAAUAUGAUCUAUUGGUUAUUCAUAUUUCAUUCUUAUAUAUACGUUUAUAUAUAUAUACAAGAUAACGACACACUAAAUAGAAUAAAGAGGGAAAAAACAAACCCUACAUGACACGUAACUAUUAAAAAACACAGAAAAAUAGAUAACAUAAAUAGAUAAAUCAACCUAGAAAUAACUUAACUACUUCUAGUUGUAUUUUACGAGUUAUUCAUUGAAAUCGUAGACAAAUUAUUUGAAAAUGUUUUAAAUAUGACGUAUGGGUUAUUCAUAUUUGAUUCUUAUAUAUAUUUUUAUAUAUAUACAAGAUAACGACACACUAAAUAGAAUAAAGAGGGAAAAAACAAACCCUACAUAACAUGUAACUAUUAAAAAACAUAGAAAAAUAGAUAACAUAAAUAGAAAAAUCAACCUAGAAAUAACUUAACCAGUUCUAGUUGUAUUUUACGAGUUAUUCAUUGAAAUCGUAGACAAAUUGUUUGAAAAUGUUUUAAAUAUGACGUAUGGGUUAUUCAUAUUUGAUUCUUAUAUAUAUGUUUAUAUAUAUACAAGAUAACGACACACUAAAUAGAAUAAAGAGGGAAAAAACAAACCCUACAUAACACGUAACUAUUAAAAAACAUAGAAAAAUAGAUAACAUAAAUAGAAAAAUCAACCUAGAAAUAACUUAACCAGUUCUAGUUGUAUUUUACGAGUUAUUCAUUGAAAUCGUAGACAAAUUGUUUGAAAAUGUUUUAAAUAUGACGUAUGGGUUAUUCAUAUUUGAUUCUUAUAUAUAUGUUUAUAUAUAUACAAGAUAACGACACACUAAAUAGAAUAAAGAGGGAAAAAACAAACCCUACAUAACACGUAACUAUUAAAAAACAUAGAAAAAUAGAUAACAUAAAUAGAAAAAUCAACCUAGAAAUAACUUAACCAGUUCUAGUUGUAUUUUACGAGUUAUUCAUUGAAAUCGUAGACAAAUUGUUUGAAAAUGUUUUAAAUAUGACGUAUGGGUUAUUCAUAUUUGAUUCUUAUAUAUAUGUUUAUAUAUAUACAAGAUAACGACACACUAAAUAGAAUAAAGAGGGAAAAAACAAACCCUACAUAACACGUAACUAUUAAAAAACAUAGAAAAAUAGAUAACAUAAAUAGAAAAAUCAACCUAGAAAUAACUUAACCAGUUCUAGUUGUAUUUUACGAGUUAUUCAUUGAAAUCGUAGACAAAUUGUUUGAAAAUGUUUUAAAUAUGACGUAUGGGUUAUUCAUAUUUGAUUCUUAUAUAUAUGUUUAUAUAUAUACAAGAUAACGACACACUAAAUAGAAUAAAGAGGGAAAAAACAAACCCUACAUAACACGUAACUAUUAAAAAACAUAGAAAAAUAGAUAACAUAAAUAGAAAAAUCAACCUAGAAAUAACUUAACCAGUUCUAGUUGUAUUUUACGAGUUAUUCAUUGAAAUCGUAGACAAAUUGUUUAAAAAUGUUUUAAAUAUGACGUAUGGGUUAUUCAUAUUUGAUUCUUAUAUAUAUGUUUAUAUAUAUACAAGAUAACGACACACUAAAUAGAAUAAAGAGGGAAAAAACAAACCCUACGUAACACAUAACUAUUAAAAAACACAGAAAAAUAGAUAACAUAAAUAGAAAAAUCAACCUAGAAAUAACUUAACCAGUUCUUGUUGUAUUUUACGAGUUAUUCAUUGAAAUCAUAGACAACUUGUUUAAAAAUAUUUUAAUUAUGACGUAUGGGUUAUUCAUAUUUAAUUCUUAUAUAUAUGUUUAUAUAUAUACAAGAUAACGACACACUAAAUAGAAUAAAGAGGGAAAAAACAGACCCUACAUAACACAUAACUAUUAAAAAACACAGAAAAAGAGAUACCAUAAAUAGAAAAAUCAUCCUAAAAAUAACUUAACUAGUUCUAGUUGUAUUAUACUAGUUAUUCAUUGAAAUCGUAGACAAAUUGUUUGAAAAUGUUUUAAAUAUGACGUAUGGGUUAUUCAUAUUUGAUUCUUAUAUAUAUGUUUAUAUAUAUACAAGAUAACGACACACAAAAUAGAAUAAAGAGGGAAAAAAUCAACCCUACAUAACACGUAACUAUUAAAAAACAUAGAAAAAUAGAUAACAUAAAUAGAAAAAUCAACCUAGAAAUAACUUAAGCAGUUCUAGUUGUAUUUUACGAGUUAUUCAUUGAAAUCGUAGACAAAUUGUUUAAAAAUGUUUUAAAUAUGACGUAUGGGUUAUUCAUAUUUGAUUCUUAUAUAUAUGUUUAUAUAUAUACAAGAUAACGACACACUAAAUAGAAUAAAGAGGGAAAAAACAAACCCUACAUAACACGUAACUAUUAAAAAACAUAGAAAAAUAGAUAACAUAAAUAGAAAAAUCAACCUAGAAAUAACUUAACCAGUUCUAGUUGUAUUUUACGAGUUAUUCAUUGAAAUCGUAGACAAAUUGUUUAAAAAUGUUUUAAAUAUGACGUAUGGGUUAUUCAUAUUUGAUUCUUAUAUAUAUGUUUAUAUAUAUACAAGAUAACGACACACUAAAUAGAAUAAAGAGGGAAAAAACAAACCCUACAUAACACGUAACUAUUAAAAAACAUAGAAAAAUAGAUAACAUAAAUAGAAAAAUCAACCUAGAAAUAACUUAACCAGUUCUAGUUGUAUUUUACGAGUUAUUCAUUGAAAUCGUAGACAAAUUGUUUAAAAAUGUUUUAAAUAUGACGUAUGGGUUAUUCAUAUUUGAUUCUUAUAUAUAUGUUUAUAUAUAUACAAGAUAACGACACACUAAAUAGAAUAAAGAGGGAAAAAACAAACCCUACAUAACACGUAACUAUUAAAAAACAUAGAAAAAUAGAUAACAUAAAUAGAAAAAUCAACCUAGAAAUAACUUAACCAGUUCUAGUUGUAUUUUACGAGUUAUUCAUUGAAAUCGUAGACAAAUUGUUUAAAAAUGUUUUAAAUAUGACGUAUGGGUUAUUCAUAUUUGAUUCUUAUAUAUAUGUUUAUAUAUAUACAAGAUAACGACACACUAAAUAGAAUAAAGAGGGAAAAAACAAACCCUACAUAACACGUAACUAUUAAAAAACAUAGAAAAAUAGAUAACAUAAAUAGAAAAAUCAACCUAGAAAUAACUUAACCAGUUCUAGUUGUAUUUUACGAGUUAUUCAUUGAAAUCGUAGACAAAUUGUUUAAAAAUGUUUUAAAUAUGACGUAUGGGUUAUUCAUAUUUGAUUCUUAUAUAUAUGUUUAUAUAUAUACAAGAUAACGACACACUAAAUAGAAUAAAGAGGGAAAAAACAAACCCUACAUAACACGUAACUAUUAAAAAACAUAGAAAAAUAGAUAACAUAAAUAGAAAAAUCAACCUAGAAAUAACUUAACCAGUUCUAGUUGUAUUUUACGAGUUAUUCAUUGAAAUCGUAGACAAAUUGUUUAAAAAUGUUUUAAAUAUGACGUAUGGGUUAUUCAUAUUUGAUUCUUAUAUAUAUGUUUAUAUAUAUACAAGAUAACGACACACUAAAUAGAAUAAAGAGGGAAAAAACAAACCCUACAUAACACGUAACUAUUAAAAAACAUAGAAAAAUAGAUAACAUAAAUAGAAAAAUCAACCUAGAAAUAACUUAACCAGUUCUAGUUGUAUUUUACGAGUUAUUCAUUGAAAUCGUAGACAAAUUGUUUAAAAAUGUUUUAAAUAUGACGUAUGGGUUAUUCAUAUUUGAUUCUUAUAUAUAUGUUUAUAUAUAUACAAGAUAACGACACACUAAAUAGAAUAAAGAGGGAAAAAACAAACCCUACAUAACACGUAACUAUUAAAAAACAUAGAAAAAUAGAUAACAUAAAUAGAAAAAUCAACCUAGAAAUAACUUAACCAGUUCUAGUUGUAUUUUACGAGUUAUUCAUUGAAAUCGUAGACAAAUUGUUUAAAAAUGUUUUAAAUAUGACGUAUGGGUUAUUCAUAUUUGAUUCUUAUAUAUAUGUUUAUAUAUAUACAAGAUAACGACACACUAAAUAGAAUAAAGAGGGAAAAAACAAACCCUACAUAACACGUAACUAUUAAAAAACACAGAAAAAUGGAUAACAUAAAUAGAUAAAUCAACCUAGAAAUAACUUAACCAGUUCUAGUUGUAUUUUACGAGUUAUUCAUUGAAAUCGUAGACAAAUUGGUUGAAAAUGUUUUAAAUAUGACGUAUGGGUUAUUCAUAUUUGAUUCUUAUAUAUAUGUUUAUAUAUAUACAAGAUAAUGACACACUAAAUGGAAUAAAGAGGGAAAAAACAAACCCUACAUAACACAUAACUAUUAAAAAACACAGAAAAAUAGAUAACAUAAAUAGAAAAAUCAACCUAGUAAUAACUUAAACAGUUCUUGUUGUAUUUACGAGUUAUUCAUUGAAAUCGUAGACAAAUUAUUUAAAAAUGUUUUAAAUAUGACGUAUGGGUUAUUCAUAUUUGAUUCUUAUAUAUAUAUUUAUAUAUAUACAAGAUAACGACACACUAAAUAGAAUAAAGAGGGAAAAAACAAACCCUACAUAACAAGUAACUAUUAAAAAACAUAGAAAAAUAGAUAACAUAAAUAGAAAAAUCAACCUAGAAAUAACUUAACCAGUUCUAGUUGUAUUUUACGAGUUAUUCAUUGAAAUCGUAGACAAAUUGUUUGAAAAUGUUUUAAAUAUGACGUAUGGGUUAUUCAUAUUUGAUUCUUAUAUAUAUGUUUAUAUAUAUACAAGAUAACGACACACUAAAUAGAAUAAAGAGGGAAAAAACAAACCCUACAUAACACGUAACUAUUAAAAAACAUAGAAAAAUAGAUAACAUAAAUAGAAAAAUCAACCUAGAAAUAACUUAACCAGUUCUAGUUGUAUUUUACGAGUUAUUCAUUGAAAUCGUAGACAAAUUGUUUGAAAAUGUUUUAAAUAUGACGUAUGGGUUAUUCAUAUUUGAUUCUUAUAUAUAUGUUUAUAUAUAUACAAGAUAACGACACACUAAAUAGAAUAAAGAGGGAAAAAACAAACCCUACAUAACACGUAACUAUUAAAAAACAUAGAAAAAUAGAUAACAUAAAUAGAAAAAUCAACCUAGAAAUAACUUAACCAGUUCUAGUUGUAUUUUACGAGUUAUUCAUUGAAAUCGUAGACAAAUUGUUUGAAAAUGUUUUAAAUAUGACGUAUGGGUUAUUCAUAUUUGAUUCUUAUAUAUAUGUUUAUAUAUAUACAAGAUAACGACACACUAAAUAGAAUAAAGAGGGAAAAAACAAACCCUACAUAACACGUAACUAUUAAAAAACAUAGAAAAAUAGAUAACAUAAAUAGAAAAAUCAACCUAGAAAUAACUUAACCAGUUCUAGUUGUAUUUUACGAGUUAUUCAUUGAAAUCGUAGACAAAUUGUUUGAAAAUGUUUUAAAUAUGACGUAUGGGUUAUUCAUAUUUGAUUCUUAUAUAUAUGUUUAUAUAUAUACAAGAUAACGACACACUAAAUAGAAUAAAGAGGGAAAAAACAAACCCUACAUAACACGUAACUAUUAAAAAACAUAGAAAAAUAGAUAACAUAAAUAGAAAAAUCAACCUAGAAAUAACUUAACCAGUUCUAGUUGUAUUUUACGAGUUAUUCAUUGAAAUCGUAGACAAAUUGUUUGAAAAUGUUUUAAAUAUGACGUAUGGGUUAUUCAUAUUUGAUUCUUAUAUAUAUGUUUAUAUAUAUACAAGAUAACGACACACUAAAUAGAAUAAAGAGGGAAAAAACAAACCCUACAUAACACGUAACUAUUAAAAAACAUAGAAAAAUAGAUAACAUAAAUAGAAAAAUCAACCUAGAAAUAACUUAACCAGUUCUAGUUGUAUUUUACGAGUUAUUCAUUGAAAUCGUAGACAAAUUGUUUGAAAAUGUUUUAAAUAUGACGUAUGGGUUAUUCAUAUUUGAUUCUUAUAUAUAUGUUUAUAUAUAUACAAGAUAACGACACACUAAAUAGAAUAAAGAGGGAAAAAACAAACCCUACAUAACACGUAACUAUUAAAAAACAUAGAAAAAUAGAUAACAUAAAUAGAAAAAUCAACCUAGAAAUAACUUAACCAGUUCUAGUUGUAUUUUACGAGUUAUUCAUUGAAAUCGUAGACAAAUUGUUUGAAAAUGUUUUAAAUAUGACGUAUGGGUUAUUCAUAUUUGAUUCUUAUAUAUAUGUUUAUAUAUAUACAAGAUAACGACACACUAAAUAGAAUAAAGAGGGAAAAAACAAACCCUACAUAACACGUAACUAUUAAAAAACAUAGAAAAAUAGAUAACAUAAAUAGAAAAAUCAACCUAGAAAUAACUUAACCAGUUCUAGUUGUAUUUUACGAGUUAUUCAUUGAAAUCGUAGACAAAUUGUUUGAAAAUGUUUUAAAUAUGACGUAUGGGUUAUUCAUAUUUGAUUCUUAUAUAUAUGUUUAUAUAUAUACAAGAUAACGACACACUAAAUAGAAUAAAGAGGGAAAAAACAAACCCUACAUAACACGUAACUAUUAAAAAACAUAGAAAAAUAGAUAACAUAAAUAGAAAAAUCAACCUAGAAAUAACUUAAGCAGUUCUAGUUGUAUUUUACGAGUUAUUCAUUGAAAUCGUAGACAAAUUGUUUAAAAAUGUUUUAAAUAUGACGUAUGGGUUAUUCAUAUUUGAUUCUUAUAUAUAUUUUUAUAUAUAUACAAGAUAACGACACACUAAAUAGAAUAAAUAGGGAAAAAACAAACCCUACAUAACACAUAACUAUUAAAAAACACAGAAAAAGAGAUACCAUAAAUAGAAAAAUCAUCCUAAAAAUAACUUAACUAGAUCUAAUUGUAUUUUACGAGUUAUUCAUUGAAAUCGUAGACAAAUUGUUUUAAAAUGUUUUAAAUAUGAUCUAUGGGUUAUUCAUAUUUGAUUCUUAUAUAUACGUUUAUAUAUAUAUAUAUACAAGAUAACGACACACUAAAUAGAUUAAAGAGGGAAAAAACAAACCCUACAUAACACGUAACUAUUAAAAAACAUAGAAAAAUGGAUAACAUAAAUAGAUAAAUCAACCUAGAAAUAACUUAACCAGUUCUAGUUGUAUUUUACGAGUUAUUCAUUGAAAUCGUAGACAAAUUGUUUAAAAAUGUUUUAAAUAUGACGUAUGGGUUAUUCAUAUUUGAUUCUUAUAUAUAUGUUUAUAUAUAUACAAGAUAACGACACACUAAAUAGAAUAAAGAGGGAAAAAACAAACCCUACAUAACACGUAACUAUUAAAAAACAUAGAAAAAUAGAUAACAUAAAUAGAAAAAUCAACCUAGAAAUAACUUAACCAGUUCUAGUUGUAUUUUACGAGUUAUUCAUUGAAAUCGUAGACAAAUUGUUUGAAAAUGUUUUAAAUAUGACGUAUGGGUUAUUCAUAUUUGAUUCUUAUAUAUAUGUUUAUAUAUAUACAAGAUAACGACACACUAAAUAGAAUAAAGAGGGAAAAAACAAACCCUACAUAACACGUAACUAUUAAAAAACAUAGAAAAAUAGAUAACAUAAAUAGAAAAAUCAACCUAGAAAUAACUUAACCAGUUCUAGUUGUAUUUUACGAGUUAUUCAUUGAAAUCGUAGACAAAUUGUUUGAAAAUGUUUUAAAUAUGACGUAUGGGUUAUUCAUAUUUGAUUCUUAUAUAUAUGUUUAUAUAUAUACAAGAUAACGACACACUAAAUAGAAUAAAGAGGGAAAAAACAAACCCUACAUAACACGUAACUAUUAAAAAACAUAGAAAAAUAGAUAACAUAAAUAGAAAAAUCAACCUAGAAAUAACUUAACCAGUUCUAGUUGUAUUUUACGAGUUAUUCAUUGAAAUCGUAGACAAAUUGUUUGAAAAUGUUUUAAAUAUGACGUAUGGGUUAUUCAUAUUUGAUUCUUAUAUAUAUGUUUAUAUAUAUACAAGAUAACGACACACUAAAUAGAAUAAAGAGGGAAAAAACAAACCCUACAUAACACGUAACUAUUAAAAAACAUAGAAAAAUAGAUAACAUAAAUAGAAAAAUCAACCUAGAAAUAACUUAACCAGUUCUAGUUGUAUUUUACGAGUUAUUCAUUGAAAUCGUAGACAAAUUGUUUGAAAAUGUUUUAAAUAUGACGUAUGGGUUAUUCAUAUUUGAUUCUUAUAUAUAUGUUUAUAUAUAUACAAGAUAACGACACACUAAAUAGAAUAAAGAGGGAAAAAACAAACCCUACAUAACACGUAACUAUUAAAAAACAUAGAAAAAUAGAUAACAUAAAUAGAAAAAUCAACCUAGAAAUAACUUAACCAGUUCUAGUUGUAUUUUACGAGUUAUUCAUUGAAAUCGUAGACAAAUUGUUUGAAAAUGUUUUAAAUAUGACGUAUGGGUUAUUCAUAUUUGAUUCUUAUAUAUAUGUUUAUAUAUAUACAAGAUAACGACACACUAAAUAGAAUAAAGAGGGAAAAAACAAACCCUACAUAACACGUAACUAUUAAAAAACAUAGAAAAAUAGAUAACAUAAAUAGAAAAAUCAACCUAGAAAUAACUUAACCAGUUCUAGUUGUAUUUUACGAGUUAUUCAUUGAAAUCGUAGACAAAUUGUUUGAAAAUGUUUUAAAUAUGACGUAUGGGUUAUUCAUAUUUGAUUCUUAUAUAUAUGUUUAUAUAUAUACAAGAUAACGACACACUAAAUAGAAUAAAGAGGGAAAAAACAAACCCUACAUAACACGUAACUAUUAAAAAACAUAGAAAAAUAGAUAACAUAAAUAGAAAAAUCAACCUAGAAAUAACUUAACCAGUUCUAGUUGUAUUUUACGAGUUAUUCAUUGAAAUCGUAGACAAAUUGUUUGAAAAUGUUUUAAAUAUGACGUAUGGGUUAUUCAUAUUUGAUUCUUAUAUAUAUGUUUAUAUAUAUACAAGAUAACGACACACUAAAUAGAAUAAAGAGGGAAAAAACAAACCCUACAUAACACGUAACUAUUAAAAAACAUAGAAAAAUAGAUAACAUAAAUAGAAAAAUCAACCUAGAAAUAACUUAACCAGUUCUAGUUGUAUUUUACGAGUUAUUCAUUGAAAUCGUAGACAAAUUGUUUAAAAAUGUUUUAAAUAUGACGUAUGGGUUAUUCAUAUUUGAUUCUUAUAUAUAUGUUUAUAUAUAUACAAGAUAACGACACACUAAAUAGAAUAAAGAGGGAAAAAACAAACCCUACAUAACACGUAACUAUUAAAAAACAUAGAAAAAUAGAUAACAUAAAUAGAAAAAUCAACCUAGAAAUAACUUAACCAGUUCUAGUUGUAUUUUACGAGUUAUUCAUUGAAAUCGUAGACAAAUUGUUUAAAAAUGUUUUAAAUAUGACGUAUGGGUUAUUCAUAUUUGAUUCUUAUAUAUAUGUUUAUAUAUAUACAAGAUAACGACACACUAAAUAGAAUAAAGAGGGAAAAAACAAACCCUACAUAACACGUAACUAUUAAAAAACAUAGAAAAAUAGAUAACAUAAAUAGAAAAAUCAACCUAGAAAUAACUUAACCAGUUCUAGUUGUAUUUUACGAGUUAUUCAUUGAAAUCGUAGACAAAUUGUUUAAAAAUGUUUUAAAUAUGACGUAUGGGUUAUUCAUAUUUGAUUCUUAUAUAUAUGUUUAUAUAUAUACAAGAUAACGACACACUAAAUAGAAUAAAGAGGGAAAAAACAAACCCUACAUAACACGUAACUAUUAAAAAACAUAGAAAAAUAGAUAACAUAAAUAGAAAAAUCAACCUAGAAAUAACUUAACCAGUUCUAGUUGUAUUUUACGAGUUAUUCAUUGAAAUCGUAGACAAAUUGUUUAAAAAUGUUUUAAAUAUGACGUAUGGGUUAUUCAUAUUUGAUUCUUAUAUAUAUGUUUAUAUAUAUACAAGAUAACGACACACUAAAUAGAAUAAAGAGGGAAAAAACAAACCCUACAUAACACGUAACUAUUAAAAAACAUAGAAAAAUAGAUAACAUAAAUAGAAAAAUCAACCUAGAAAUAACUUAACCAGUUCUAGUUGUAUUUUACGAGUUAUUCAUUGAAAUCGUAGACAAAUUGUUUAAAAAUGUUUUAAAUAUGACGUAUGGGUUAUUCAUAUUUGAUUCUUAUAUAUAUGUUUAUAUAUAUAUACAAGAUAACGACACACUAAAUAGAAUAAAGAGGGAAAAAACAAACCCUACAUAACACAUAACUAUUAAAAAA
rnacentral:lncRNA from 1 species